CUGAAGAAAGAAUGACAUGGAUAUCUUGGAUGACAUGGGGGGGUUUGCUGAGCAUCUGACGAGGUUUGCAGUUCUCGAGGUCCAGUUUCCAAUCGAAACACAGUGGGGAUCUGGCCCAAUAUGGGACAUGUCUCCUGUAGACCAGAAAUCCACUGAGACAGAGUGGCUUGGUCACCCUGACCGGUCAUACACAUGGCGUAAACCAGCCCCUCUUCCACUGCAGAAUCAAAUCAACAGAAAUCAUUGUGUAUAAUUGGUCAAGUUCCACUCGCUGAGGAUAGAAGAGACUCUGCUCUGGACCAAUCAGCUCAGGGUCAAUGUGUUCCUCAACCUACAAGAAAAUCAG